rnacentral:rRNA from 1 species
UACGUAGGGGGCAAGCGUUGUCCGGAUUUAUUGGGCGUAAAGAGCGUGUAGGCGGCCUGAAAGGUCAGCUGUGAAAACUCGAGGCUCAACCUCGAGACGUCGGUUGAAACCAUCUGGCUAGAGUCCGGAAGAGGAGUGUGGAAUUCCCGGUGUAGCGGUGAAAUGCGCAGAUAUCGGGAGGAAAACCGGUGGCGAAGGCGGUUCUCUGGGCCUUACCUGACGCUGAGGAGCGAAAGCGUGGGGAGCGAACAGG